UACGUAGGGUGCGAGCGUUAAUCGGAAUUACUGGGCGUAAAGCGUGCGCAGGCGGUUCGUUGUGUCGGCGGUGAAAGCCCCGGGCUCAACCUGGGAAUGGCCGUUGAAACUGGCGAACUGGAGUGUGGCAGAGGGGGGUGGAAUUCCGCGUGUAGCAGUGAAAUGCGUAGAUAUGUGGAGGAACACCGAUGGCGAAGGCAGCCCCCUGGGUCUGCACUGACGCUCAUGCACGAAAGCGUGGGGAGCAAACAGG
rnacentral:rRNA from 1 species